AAUUUCGGGCUAAAAUCGGUCCAUUAUCAGUAAAUAUCGGUCACGAUACUCGAUAGUAUACCUAGUAUACAUCGGUCACGAUCCACAAUCAAAUCAAAAUUCAGUAAACUCAAAAAUCAAAAUUCAGUAUAUAUCGGUCACGAUCCCAAAGGAAAUUUUGUUUGGGAUUUAUUUCCAAUUGCCAUAUGUUGGAGAAUUUGGAAGGAGAGGAACGAAAGAACUUUCAACGGUAAGGAAAUGCUCAUAGACAAUCUAAUUCUGGAAAUCAAAGCUGACAUUUUGUAUUGGGCGCAGCCGUCGAGAACGCUAGAUGGAGUGAUUUUUGAAGAUCUUGUUUUCAGAUGGGAGGAACUGAUGAGAAAGCGAAAAGUUUCUGUUUGUUUGGGAUUGCACUGUGACCAACUUUAUGGAUCACAAUGUUUAGAUUUUUAUGGAUCACAAUGUUUAGAUUUUACCGGUGUAUUUUUUAUUCUUUUACCGUAUUAUCUAUAUAUAUCUUUAUUUUUGCUGAUCAAAAAAAAAAAGAUUAAAAUUACUGCCCUGAUUUACAAUCGAUCAAGAUGAAAUUGCGUUCUGGCAAGAAAACUUGUUCAUCUCCCAAGAAAAAAACUACAAUAACACAACUUGAAGAGAAUUUAUUGCUUGAAAUAUUUAGUUUGCUAUCUUUCAACUCAAUCUUUAGAUUCAGGUGCGUCUCAAGGGGAUGGGCUUCUCUUCUCUCCGACUGUCGUUUCAUGAACAAAUGGAGUCAGAUCAAUGGCUCUCAAUCUUUCCCGUGGCUCGUUUAUCACUCUAAGAUGGAUUUCGGGAUCUCAUAUUCAAAAUCAUCAGCGAGUUCAGAACUCAUAUCAGGUAAUCGACAUGGGUUUUCCUUUAAGUUUUUGAAUCCAAACCCCAAUUUAGAAAACAACAUAAUAGACCUGCUAGGUGUAACGGUCUGGUUUUAUGUUGUUCAUCAAGUAAGGAGUAUUAUUAUGUUUGCAAUCCCCUUACAAAACAGUGGGUUUCACUUCCUCCAACUCCUCCUAUGUCCACCACCACCACCAUUGCUGCUUUUACUAGUGAGUCUAUUUCAUCCAAUACUUGUUAUAAGGUUGUGCUCAUGCCAGUGUCUGAUAUGGAAUUGAGGAAAAUUAACAUUCAAGUUUUCUCUUCUGUUGUGGGUAAAUGGAAUAUCUAUCAAGUGUCACACCCUAAGCCUAGGGGUUAUUUCUUUGACUUCGACUUCGAGAGUUUAAUUGUCGUAAAUGGACAAAUAUAUUGGAUGGACGGGAAAGAUAUAUUAUCUUACGAUCUAAACAAUAACAAUAGCAUUCAAACCGGUGGCCAACAAUGUAGGUUGAUGAACUUCCCUGUCUUGUCAGGAAAUUAUAAUGAUGAAAGCGACAUUUUUUGUCUAAAGGAGUACAGAGGUUUGUUAUGUUUUCUUGCAAUUUCGAAAACCUCGAGGUAUUUGUCUGUCUGGGUGUUUGAGGAGGAUUGGAAUAUAGUGCACAAGGAUAUUGUGUUGCUUGAUUUCGUAGCGGGAAUGUAUAGAAGAUACAAUAUGGAAGAGUAUGAGGCUUUUGAAGAAGUUGACAGUGAAAGUGAAAGUAACUAUUGCGACAAAGAAAAUGGGGCUAUUGAAGAAGUUGAGGUUAUAGGUUUUAGUCCAGUCGAUGCAAAUGUGAUUUUGUUCGGUUGUAAUGAUGGAGUUUGGGCCUACGACAUUGAAAGUACAAAAUCCGAAGAGCUCAUCGAGCCUUCGUUCAUGGCUACGACAAAUUUGGUUGGAACUCGUUAUCGCGUCUACAACUCAUUUGCUAUAAAGACAAUGCCAACAGUGCUUCCAUCACCUUCGUGGAAAAGCAUACCAGUUAUAAUGGAUCAACAAGGGCAUCGACAGUCCUCAGCUGUGGGGAUGGUUGCAAGUGCAAGUCAAAUGUCAUACGGAGCAGCUCAAUCUCCAGCUAACAAAUAAUAGCCUCUUGCAGGCUCUAUUCACUCUCCAGAGACUCCAGAUGAAGUUAUAGCAAACACGUCAGUUAUUUGGCACUUGGUCAUGCUUAGCGAUGUGGUGUACGCCUACCAAUCACAUGAGUAACCAGUCUUUACGGAAUUUGGGUGUACGCCUACCAAUCACAUGUGUCUACUGUUGACAUUAUUUUUUCUUGUCUUUACAUCUUGAAGAAUCCUGUGAAUAAUAACUAGAGUACUAGCACUUGUCUGGCGGAACACAUAGCCCUGGUUUUGAAACCGUGGUGGAGACCCGACCACACAAUAAACGUGGUGUGAUUACUCCUUAAAGAAAUCUAGCUAGGUGUGAGCAUUUUCCAUGUGAAAUCACUUUGCGCUCUUUAUAGGACUGCUACCCAGUCUUCUACUUUUUCUCCACCAUAAUACUAAACAAUGACACUCUUUACAGGUUCUCCACUAUAAAUUAAACAAACUGUAGAAAAUCCCAGCUCUGAUGAUAAUAUAUUCCCAGCGUUGACGAUUACAGUUUACUAAUAUGUUUUUUCUUUUUCUUUCUACUUUAUCGCUUCUUCCUUUGCGGUUCGACAACUUUUAUUACAAAAACUCCUCUUUAAGGUGCAGUUAGAAACCCCAAAUACCAAACUAGUGCACUUGUUUCCAAUCUAUCAAGAUGAAUUUGGGUUCUUCUUCUUCUUCUCUUGGGACAACUCCAAACACAAAAUUAACAGAUGAUAUCUGGUUUGAAAUAUUUCUUCUUCUUCCUUUCAUAUCAAUCUUUAAAUUGAGGAGUGUUUCCAAGGUAUGGUCUUCUCUUCUCUCAGACCCUCAUUUCAUUAGUAAAUGGGUUCAACUCAAUGUCUCUGAUAAACUCCCAUGGUUGGUAUAUCAUAAUAUUAAUCAGGCUGAUAUUCAGUUGAAAUUUUUACUUUUCACAUUCAAAAUCACUGAGUUCAGAAUUCAUAUCAGGUAAUCAACAUGGGUUUUCUUUUCGGUUUUUGAAUCCAGAAUCCAAUCCAGAGAACAACAGGAUUUACCUGGUAGGUUCUAGUAAUGGUUUGGUUUUAUGUACAUCAAGUUAUGCGAGACCGAACUUAAGACCAAGGGACUAUUAUGUAUGUAAUCCACUUACACAUGAAUGGGUUUCACUUCCUCCAGCUCCUAGUUCCACUACCCCAAUUGAGGUUGUUAUUGGUUUUACUUGCGAGGCUGUUUCAUCUACUACUAGUUACAAGGUUGUGGUUAUCCCAAGAUUUGGCAAGCCAUCCAACAAAGUUAACAUUGAAAUAUUUUCUUCUCAUGUGGGUGAAUGGAAUGUCUAUGAAGUUUCAGGCAUCAAGGAUUCUAUUGGUUGUUACGCUUUGGUUAUAAGUGGAGUACUGUACUGGAAUGGAGUGAAAGGUAUACUAGCUUACAAUCUGAACGACAAUAACAUUGAAACACAACCUUACUUGAAUCAUAUCCGUUCUAUUAGCUCGUA